GCAGUGGGGAAUAUUGCACAAUGGGCGGAAGCCUGAUGCAGCAACGCCGCGUGCGGGAUGACGGCCUUCGGGUUGUAAACCGCUUUCGCCUGUGACGAAGCGUGAGUGACGGUAAUGGGUAAAGAAGCACCGGCUAACUACGUGCCAGCAGCCGCGGUGAUACGUAGGGUGCGAGCGUUGUCCGGAUUUAUUGGGCGUAAAGGGCUCGUAGGUGGUUGAUCGCGUCGGAAGUGUAAUCUUGGGGCUUAACCCUGAGCGUGCUUUCGAUACGGGUUGACUUGAGGAAGGUAGGGGAGAAUGGAAUUCCUGGUGGAGCGGUGGAAUGCGCAGAUAUCAGGAGGAACACCAGUGGCGAAGGCGGUUCUCUGGGCCUUUCCUGACGCUGAGGAGCGAAAGCGUGGGGAGCGAACAGGCUUAGAUACCCUGGUAGUCCACGCUGUAAACGGUGGGUACUAGGUGUGGGGUCCAUUCCACGGGUUCCGUGCCGUAGCUAACGCUUUAAGUACCCCGCCUGGGGAGUACGGCCGCAAGGCUAAAACUCAAAGGAAUUGACGGGGCCCCGCACAAGCGGCGGAGCAUGCGGAUUAAUUCGAUGCAACGCGUAGAACCUUACCUGGGUUUGACAUGGAUCGGGAGUGCUCAGAGAUGGGUGUGCCUCUUUUGGGGUCGGUUCACAGGUGGUGCAUGGCUGUCGUCAGCUCGUGUCGUGAGAUGUUGGGUUAAGUCCCGCAACGAGCGCAACCCUUAAGCUUAGUUGCCAUCAUUAAGUUGGGCACUCUAAGUUGACUGCCGGUGACA
rnacentral:rRNA from 1 species